rnacentral:tRNA from 1 species
GCGGCCAUGGUGUAGAGGCAACACAGCAGAUUGUGGAUCUGUUAUCAGGGGUUCAAUUCCCCUUGGCCGCCCCA